rnacentral:lncRNA from 1 species
GCAAAUAAACUUUACAAAUAAUAUAAAUGGUUAAGAUGAUUUCAUAUACAAAUUAUAAAGCCAAAAAGCAGUAGAAGUUAACACAAUAGCUGGUAAGAGCCUGUAGGAGCAGCCUCGCCCUCAUAGAUGGAGACCUUACGCCACCAAGAACACAGACAUCACAUGUGCCUAUGGGAGCAGCCUCAUCGUCACAGUACUAAGCCCCAGUUCCUGGAUGGAUACGUGACAAAACCAAGGCAAUGUUAGUACUAUAUUUAACCAAACAGAAUAUAACAUUACAACGGCAAGAUGAGAAAAGUCUAAGAACUACUCUGUAACUCUUUUGCAUCCUCCUCUCAUCACUGUACUCAUGAUCCUUUCCGAUGCACCAGGAAUUUGAAGCGUCCGCUGCACCAGCAGUGCAUGGUUGAAAUAAGUUGAACACCAAACAUCUACGGAGAUUUUGACCGAAGCCUAUCCAGCCAGGGCUGCGCAGGGUUCAUGGGCGGGGCAACAUAUUUCCCAGGUUACAGCUUCUUUGGAUCACAGGAUCUGCAAAACAAAGGAAUAGGAAAAAUGGAGGAUUUGAUUGCCAUGCCAUAGCCAAUCCUAUGGAAUUUUUCCAGAGAUCGGACCUCAUGUGUAAAUUCCUCUGGAAUCAGCACCUUGGAGUCCCAAUCCUAAGGAAUUUUAAUGACCCAAUCCUGUGAUCCAAAUGCGUUUCAUAGGAAACAAUCCUGAGGAUUGAUAUCCCGUGAAAAUCCUAUAAAAAUCCUCCAAUCCAAAGAAGGCCUUAGUCGGCGAUAGGUCAGCCAAGCAGCAUGGGACCCAGCUCCAGGGCGGCGCACAGGAGGCUGGGCCGCUGGGGGCGAGGCGGUGGAAACAGAUAGGCAUCGAUGUGUCCAGGCAUGGACCGGGAGCACGGCAGCGGCAACACGACAAUCAGCACAAGGAAGAUGACACCGUGCGGACGUUCGGCUGCAUGAGAGUCCUUGUGUAGGCGUGAUUGCACUGUCGUGGCAUGGAACUUCCAAAGAGAUGGGAAUAUGGGAUUCGAGGCAGAGCGGUCUCGUCGUGGAGAUAGCCACCGGCGGCGUCGCUUAGUCAACGUAGAGGGCGACUUGGAGGCCUCCAGAAACCACCGUUGAGGGACUGAUCUGGGCGGCAACCCUAAUCACAGGGCCUCGCUGAUCUCGGCCUCGUCCGUUCGUCCCACCUAGCUAGUGCGCUCCUUCACCAGCGCAGCACGCUGCUCGCCGCUGCUGGCCUUGAUGGUCCUCUUUCCACUCCGACCGCAACCGGAUCCUCCCGACCUGAGCUGCAUCAUGCUUCAUGCCGCUAUCGUCCUCGGCAACAACCAUGCAGGCUCCGUUCGCGGGCUUCAGCCUCGGCGCCGGGCCGCGCGGUUCAGGGUGCCCGCCAUGCAGACCGCGUCUACCCCAACGCCCGGUCCGCAGGUGCAAGCAAUCGCGGGUGGCUUCUGGCCCUUCUUCCAGCUCUGGCUGCUGCUCGCCGUCCCAGCGCUCGACUCCACCAACACCCGAACAAAAAAGGAAAUAUAAUUGGGGACGAUGCGUGUGGGUAUGUAGGGGAAGGAAUCGUGAGGCGUCCGGAUUGACUUGGCGGUUUGGACUCUGGCUAGUUACCUGUGGGCUUCUAUUGGGCUUUUCUCUUUCAGUACCAGUUUCGCGUGCGUGUACGGUUUGGUUUGUGUGCUUGUAGAGAGGGUUGUACCCUAUUUUUCUUCAGCCGUUUGUUUAUUUUUCUAUAGAUUAGUACCACCUCGCUUAUAUGUUUUAAAUUCAAACUGAAAGCGUAAAAUCACGGAAAAAAGCGUAUUGUGACGGUGAACCCGACAAAGUCAAUCCGUGUUUUAUUAUUACUAGCACAAAUGCCCGUGCGUUGCACCGGGCUGAAAAAUGGGAUAACCUGCUUCAUGUGCCAUUGUGCAUCAUUUUUAUAUCUAUUUUUAAUAAAUGUUGAUAAUAUGGUUAAACGUAGGAAUUUUCUUAUUUUUAAUAAAAGUUAACAUUUUAGCAAAAGAGCCCGUGAGUUGCAACGGUAUGAAAUAAGUUCCAGGGUUUGCGUGAUAUUCGAGAGUUUAACUAUCAUGGUGAAAUACUGAGCUCUAUCUCUCAAUAUGUUAGAUUCUUCCUCGCACUUUCAGUAUUAAAAAACUAAAGCAGAAUAUGAAAGCUAGCGAAUCUCAGUUCCUAACACAAACAUCCAGCGGUAUGCAAAAAAAAACAAACAGAAGUAAUAUGACAUAACCAACAGUGCGCAAAGAGAUAUACUACAGAUAUGAUGUUCGUCAGUCAAGUAGGAAUAGUACUUGCCUGAAUAUAAGAGGAUUCUCAUUGUGGUCGUUUCCUCCUGUGACCAACUGAUGGGCUAUCUCAUCUGUAUCAUCCCAAACAAGAGGAACUGAGGAAGAAACUUCUUGUUGAUGUUGUUCAAUCCAUCAAAAAAGAACCGAUGUUGUUCAACCUUUACGGUUGUAACUUGUAAGUUCAUAUAUGAUCAAAACUAAAAUGCAGCCCCAGCCCAUGGGGCACCUGGAGUGCAGGGGAAGUGGCGGACGCGGGAGCUGUAAUCUGUCAGGUGAUUAUAAGCGUUUUCCAUGUCUUGUUGGUUUCCUGCUCCAUCAGAAAUACGGUUACAAUUACUGCAGAAAUGAGGAAAAGGCAGAAGCAUGUAGUCGAUACACAUUAACACAUGCAAGUGUAGCAUGUGAAAUACCACUACAGCUUACCUCGCCGGACUGAACUAUGAUCUAGAGACCUUGACAGAAGUGCUCGGAUUCUAAUUAAGAUCUCCAGCUAUUGACUAAUUCAAUCGAUUCAAGUUGUGUGUAUUGUACAAAUUGCAGCUAAUAUGUGAGCAAAGGUUGUCACCAAUCAAAGUCCGUGUCCUUAUGUAAACAGAUCCUUGUAAAUGUGUGAACAAACUGAUGAGAGGUAAAAAGGAACGGUGUCUUAAAAAAUUGGAAACCAAGUUCUUAGCCCCAUUCCCCUUUAUCUGGUUUUUACCUUGCUUCUGCUAAUAAAAAGAUUGUUUUCACGUAAACAAUUCAAAUGCACACUCUGAUCUUUUCCUAAACCAUCUCGUAAUGGCAAAAGAAUUGCAUUCAGAGAAAUCGCAUUUACCUCAGCACAGCACCCUGCUCAAAUAGUCAUCUCCAUCAAUGUAGACCAACCAUCGUGCAAGGCACCUAUAAUUUACUUUUUUUUUUUUGAAACGUCACCGGGGGGGCAGAGAAAGACUGCCCACCUGAUAAUUUACUUUGUUAUCAUCACAACAUGGAAAAUCUGACCUGCAAAGAACAUUAUACUUGCAUAAUCUAAUCACCAUAAGUAGAACAAUAUUCUUCCGCGAUCUCAGCAUAAAUUCAAUUGCACAUAAUCAGAACCGACGCAUCACAGGAUAGAUCAAACAAUUCCAUGGUAAAGUUAUUUGGAGCGAGUGUUUUUUCAGCGGAAUACGUGUUUCAUUUGGAUUGGAAUUUUGAGAUGCCUGCACGUUGUACUAUUUUCUGAUGUAUUAUAUCAUAUUCUUAGAAGCUAAAUGCAGUUUGAAUAUAAGACAAACACCAUGAAGCUACCUAUCAUUGUGCUUUGCUUUCUCUACCUGCAGCUUUGUUUUCACCUCGGAUCCGUAAGGAGUGGAGACAGAUAAUUGUAGAGGAAAAAGAUUUUCAGACACACUUGGCUUAUCACCACACAAUCCAUCGAAGUAUUAGCACAAAAUGUGGAACUACAAAUCACCAUCUCCACUCCACAAGUAGUUCAAAAUCUCUCGGGACUUUAAACCUGACACAACAUAUGCUAAUAUACCAAUACAUGUAUCAGUUGUAAUUUUAGCUAGCUAGGAGCAGAGGUAAUUAGGAAGCAAAGCUUGUUAUUGUUGUACCUGGAACUAAGGCCAGAUGAGAACCACCACAGCAGAUAUUCCACAUCCAUUGCUCCCCACGCUGAUGGUGGCCGUCUUGUCCACUGACAUCGCGCGUGAGACGUCGCUCCAAUGUGUCCGAGAGGAGGGGCGGCUUGC